GUCUUUUUGAGUUAUUUUUAAAGUCUGACCUGCCCACUGAAUAUUUUUAAAUGGCCGCAGUAUUCUAACUGUGCAAAGGUAGCAUAAUCAUUAGUCUUUUAAUUGAAGGCUGGUAUGAACGGUUGGACGAAGUAUAAGCUGUUUCAUAUAAAAUUAUAUUAGAAUUUUAUAUUUUAGUUAAAAAGCUAAAAUAUUAUUAAAAGACGAGAAGACCCUAUAAAUCUUUAUAUUUAAUAUUAUUCAAAUUUUUUUGAUUAAUUUUAUUUUUAUAAUAUUAAAUAUUUUGUUGGGGUGAUAUUAAAAUUUAACAAACUUUUAAUUUUGAAUUAGANCAUUAAUUUAUGAAUAGUUGAUCCAUUAUUAAUGAUUAUAAGAUUAAGUUACUUUAGGGAUAACAGCGUAAUUUUUUUUGAGAGUUCAUAUCGACAAAAAAGUUUGCGACCUCGAUGUUGGAUUAAGAUAUAUAUUUAGGUGUAGCCGUUUAAAUAUUAAGUCUGUUCGACUUUUAAAUUCUUACAUGAUCUGAGUUCAA
rnacentral:rRNA from 1 species